rnacentral:rRNA from 1 species
CACGGGGGCAACCCUGGUGGCGAGUGGCGAACGGGUGAGUAACGCAUCGGAAUGUACCCAGUAGUGGGGGAUAACUAGUCGAAAGNUAGCUAAUACCGCAUACCACUGAGGUGGAAAGCGGGGGAUCGCAAGACCUNNNNCUAUUGGAGCAGCCGAUGUCCGAUUAGGUAGUUGGUGGGGUAAAGGCCUACCAAGCCUGCGAUCGGUAACUGGUCUGAGAGGACGACCAGUNACACUGGGACUGAGACACGGCCCAGACUCCUACGGGAGGCAGCAGUGGGGAAUUUUGGACAAUGGGCGCAAGCCUGAUCCAGCAAUGCCGCGUGUGUGAAGAAGGCCUUCGGGUUGUAAAGCACUUUUGGCGGGAGCGAAACGGCGUUUGCUAAUACCAGACGCUAAUGACGGU